rnacentral:rRNA from 1 species
GACGAACGCUGGCGGCGUGCUUAACACAUGCAAGUCGAACGGAAAGGCCCCUUUGGGGGUCCUCGAGUGGCGCACGGGUGAGUAACACGUGAGUAACCUGCCCUUGACUUCGGGAUAACUUCAGGAAACUGGGGCUAAUACCGGAUAGGAAUCCUUGCUGCAUGGUGGGGGUUGGAAAGCUUCGGCGGUUUUGGAUGGACUCGCGGCUUAUCAGCUUGUUGGUGGGGUAGUGGCUUACCAAGGCUUUGACGGGUAGCCGGCCUGAGAGGGCGACCGGCCACAUUGGGACUGAGAUACGGCCCAGACUCCUACGGGAGGCAGCAGUGGGGAAUAUUGCACAAUGGGCGGAAGCCUGAUGCAGCAACGCCGCGGGCGGGAGGACGGCCUUCGGGUUGUAAACCGCUUUCAGCAGGGGCGAAGCUUGUGGUGACGGUACCUGCAGAAGAAGCACCGGCUAACUACGUG